rnacentral:lncRNA from 1 species
GGAUCAACUGAAGGGAAAAGAACAUCUCCCCCAACCCCUGGUGUGUGGCACCUGAAGUAAAGCUGUUGCUUCUGCCUGACUGCCUUCAAUGCCUGCUGGCCAGAAUGACUUGGGUAACCAGUCUCAAGGACCCAGAAGCUAAUGAGAUCCCAGGCUCUCCAGCAGGACGGUGGCCAUUACAGGGCUAACCUGGACUAUGUAAGCCACUCUAGUAAAUUCGCAGUGUAAUUUAUAUUCAUUAAAUUACCUUUGUUUUGUCAGGGAACAUUGACUAAUGAAUUUCUAGGGACCGUCAUUGGGGCCUAUGCCCUCCCACUUCCUGUGUGGUGUCCGCACUGCCUGGAUACCAUGAUAAGUGUGGCUUCUCUCUGCAGUAUCCUCAUUGUCAUGAUGGAACCUGUGGGAAAAUGAAGUGCUUCCUCCCUCAAGUUGUGUUUCUUAGAUAGUUCAUCACAAAAGCAGUAAAAAUGUCAUUAAAAGUAGAAUGUGGAGCUGGAGAGAUGGCUC